GACGUAGGAGGCGAGCGUUGUCCGGAUUCAUUGGGCGUAAAGAGCGCGCAGGCGGCUUGGUAAGUCGGAUGUGAAAACCCGAGGCUCAACCUCGGGCGUGCAUCCGAUACUGCUCGGCCAGAGGUAGGUAGGGGAGAUCGGAAUUCCUGGUGUAGCGGUGAAAUGCGCAGAUAUCAGGAGGAACACCGGUGGCGAAGGCGGAUCUCUGGGCCUUACCUGACGCUCAGGCGCGAAAGCUAGGGGAGCGAACUGG
rnacentral:rRNA from 1 species